CUGCACGGCUGUCGUCAGCUCGUGUCGUGAGAUGUUGGGUUAAGUCCGUAACGAGCGCAACCCUUGUCCUUAGUUACCAGCACGUUAUGUGGGCACUCUAAGGAGACUGCCGGUGACAAACCGGAGGAAGGUGGGGAUGACGUCAAGUCAUCAUGGCCCUUACGGCCUGGGCUACACACGUGCUACAAUGGUCGGUACAAAGGGUUGCCAAGCCGCGAGGUGGAGCUAAUCCCAUAAAACCGAUCGUAGUCCGGAUCGCAGUCUGCAACUCGACUGCGUGAAGUCGGAAUCGCUAGUAAUCGUGAAUCAGAAUGUCACGGUGAAUACGUUCCCGGGCCUU
rnacentral:rRNA from 1 species